UCCGAUUUGGACUCAAGAUGCUUUGGAUCGGACUACGUAUUUCUAAGCUGGCGAUCAAGGGAUUCCAUGAGCCAGCAAGUGAACCCAGCACUGAUGAAUGUUGUAAUAGUCACCCCGUUCCAGCGGCCUAGACGGGGGGUAGAGCGAAUGUUAAUAGUCAGUGUUGCCAACGCUUUGGAGGACGGUUUUAAACCGCUAAAGUUGGGCGUAGGG
rnacentral:sRNA from 12 species